CAAGAGUAGUAAAGGUUAGCAGCUUCUCAGACUACAAAACUCCAAUAAUUCCCAAAGAUGUGAAAAUGGGAUUGAGGUGCAAGUCUCUCCUGUAAAUAUUUUUUAGUAUUUUGAUUCCAACAAUUAAUUUGAAUGAAUGAAUGAAGAAGAAAUCAUAAUCCAAUGUUUCAUGUUGUUACAAUAAGCCCCCCAUCAAGAAGAUAGUUAAAUUCUUUAUACUGCUUUUGGGGUUGAUUUAUAUGGAUGUAGAAGUCAUGCUGCUGUUGUUGGAUAAAGAUACUUGUUAGGAGAGUGAUCAUGUCAUAG
rnacentral:lncRNA from 1 species